UACGGAGGGUGCAAACGUUGCUCGGAAUCAUUGGGCGUAAAGCGCACGUAGGCGGUCCGUUAAGUCGGGUGUGAAAUCCCUCGGCUCAACCGAGGAAGUGCAUUCGAAACUGGCGGACUUGAGUAUGGAAGAGGGUCGUGGAAUUCCCGGUGUAGAGGUGAAAUUCGUAGAUAUCGGGAGGAACACCAGUGGCGAAGGCGGCGAUCUGGGUGGAUACUGACGCUGAGGUGCGAAAGCGUGGGGAGCAAACAGG
rnacentral:rRNA from 1 species